CGCCCUUAGAGUUUGAUCAUGGCUCAGGACGAACGCUGGCGGCGUGCCUAAUACAUGCAAGUCGAACGCAGCUUGCUUUGGUAAGAUGAUUGGCGAACGGGUGAGUAACACGUGGGUAACCUGCCUAUCAGAGGGGGAUAACACUUGGAAACAGGUGCUAAUACCGCAUAGAUUUCUUUCGCAUGAAAAGAGAGGAAAGACGUACGUGUCACUGAUAGAUGGACCCGCGGUGCAUUAGCUAGUUGGUGAGGUAACGGCUCACCAAGGCCAUGAUGCAUAGCCGACCUGAGAGGGUGAUCGGCCACACUGGGACUGAGACACGGCCCAGACUCCUACGGGAGGCAGCAGUAGGGAAUCUUCGGCAAUGGACGAAAGUCUGACCGAGCAACGCCGCGUGAGUGAAGAAGGUUUUCGGAUCGUAAAACUCUGUUGUUAGAGAAGAAUAGGUAGGAGGACUUUCCUGCCAUGACGGUAUCUAACCAGAAAGCCACGGCUAACUAC
rnacentral:rRNA from 1 species